ACGACGCUUCGUUUACGAUCACUGAAAUUAAGCAAAGUCGAGCCUGGUCAGUACUGAGAUGAGUGACUGCUUGGGAAUACCAGAUGCUGUAAG